UACGUAGGGUGCAAGCGUUGUUCGGAAUCACUGGGCGUAAAGAGUGAGUAGGUGGUGAUUUAAGUCCGAUGUGAAAUCCCUUGGCUUAACCAAGGAACUGCAUUGGAAACUAAUUUGCUAGAGUUCGGUAGGGGAAAAUGGAAUUCCUGGUGUAGAGGUGAAAUUCGUAGAGAUCAGGAGGAAUACCAGUGGCGUAAGCGAUUUUCUAGGCCGACACUGACACUCAAUCACAAAAGCGUGGGGAGCAAACAGG
rnacentral:rRNA from 1 species